rnacentral:rRNA from 1 species
UACAGAGGUCCCAAGCGUUGUUCGGAUUCACUGGGCGUAAAGGGUGCGUAGGUGGCGAGGUAAGUCGGAUGUGAAAGCUCGGAGCUCAACUCCGAAAUGGCAUUGGAAACUACCUUGCUCGAGGGUUGGAGGGGGGACUGGAAUUCUCGGUGUAGCAGUGAAAUGCGUAGAUAUCGAGAGGAACACCAGUGGCGAAGGCGGGCUACUGGGCCGAUACUGACGCUGAUGCGCGAAAGCCAGGGGAGCGAACGGG